GACAGCCGGCAGGGUGCUCUUCCUGGUUGCUUGUGCUAAGGCACAGAGUGAAAUAUUAUGCUCCUUUCUAGAAAAGCAAAGGAUGCAAUGCUUCUCUAUGAGAGGCACUGCAGGGCUGUGCAGCAAUUGAUACGCAUGUGGCCUGUGUCCCAGAGCUGAGGUUGGUUAACUCUUCAUAGCUUUAUGGUAAAGAUGAAUGUCAUUAAUUUCUAUAUUUCUGAUAGUCAUCCAUUUAAACUUAGAAUAUCAGACUUUUCUAGGUGUUUAGAUUCCUGCACCUCUUAUCUUAUCAUGGCAGUGAAU